rnacentral:rRNA from 1 species
GACGAACCGAGCGAACGUUGUUCGGAAUCACUGGGCUUAAAGGGCGCGUAGGCGGGUGCUCAAGUCCGUGGUGAAAUCCUCCGGCUCAACCGGAGCACUGCCUCGGAUACUGGGUGCCUCGAGGGUGGUAGGGGUAUGCGGAACUAUCGGUGGAGCGGUGAAAUGCGUUGAUAUCGAUAGGAACUCCGGUGGCGAAGGCGGCAUACUGGACCACCUCUGACGCUGAGGCGCGAAAGCUAGGGGAGCAAACAGG